rnacentral:rRNA from 1 species
UACAGAGGUCUCAAGCGUUGUUCGGAUUCAUUGGGCGUAAAGGGUGCGUAGGUGGCGCCGUAAGUCAGGUGUGAAAUUUCGGAGCUUAACUCCGAAACUGCAUUUGAUACUGCGGUGCUUGAGGACUGGAGAGGAGACUGGAAUUUACGGUGUAGCAGUGAAAUGCGUAGAGAUCGUAAGGAAGACCAGUGGCGAAGGCGGGUCUCGUGGACAGUUCCUGACACUGAGGCACGAAGGCCAGGGGAGCAAACGGG